ACCAGCUGGAGAGUCCCAAAUAAGACGAAACGGACGUCCUGGAU
rnacentral:hammerhead_ribozyme from 1 species